UACGAAGGGGGCUAGCGUUGCUCGGAUUGACUGGGCGUAAAGGGCGCGUAGGCGGUUUGCAUAGUCAGACGUGAAAUUCCUGGGCUUAACCUGGGGGCUGCGUUUGAUACAUGCAGGCUUGAGUUCGGAAGAGGGUCGUGGAAUUCCCAGUGUAGAGGUGAAAUUCGUAGAUAUUGGGAAGAACACCGGUGGCGAAGGCGGUCUGCUGGGCAGUAGCUGACGCUGAUGCGCGACAGCGUGGGAGCAAACAGG
rnacentral:rRNA from 1 species